rnacentral:snoRNA from 1 species
UGUGUCGUGUGUGUGUGUCUGUGUGUCGUGUGUCUGUGUGUCUGUGUCACACACACACACAGACACACAGACACACAGACACAUACACACACGUGUGCACAUGCACACACACAC